rnacentral:rRNA from 1 species
AUUGAACGCUGGCGGCAGGCCUAACACAUGCAAGUCGAGCGGAUGAAGGGAGCUUGCUUCUGGAUCCAGCGGCGGACGGGUGUGUAAUGCCUAGGAAUCUGCUUGGCAGUGGGGGAUAACGUCUGGAAACGGGCGCUACUACUGCAUACUUCCUGCGCGAGAUAGUUGGUGAGGUUCGGACCUUUUGCUCUCAGAUGGGUCUAGGCGGGAUUUGUUAGUUGGUGGGUUAAAUGCUUGCUAAGCCGACGAUCCGUAACUGGCCUGAGAGAGUGAUUAGUCACACUGGAAGUGAGACACGGUCCAGAGUCCUACGAGAGGCAGCAGUGGGGAAUGUUAGGCAGUGGGCGAGAGCCUGAUCCAGCGGUGCCACGUGUGUGGAGAAGGUCUUCGGAUUGUAAAGCAGUUUAAGUUGGGGGGAAGGGCAGUAAGUUAAUACGAAGCUGUUUUGACGUUACCAACAGAAUAAGCACCGGCUAACUACGUG